rnacentral:rRNA from 1 species
CCUACGGGAGGCAGCAGUCGAGAAUCAUUCACAAUGGGGGAAACCCUGAUGGGGCGACGCCGCGUGGGGGAAUGAAGGUCUGCGGAUUGUAAACCCCUGUCAUGGGGGAGCAAAUUAAAAAGAUAGUACAACAAGAGGAAGAGACGGCGAACUCGGGGCCAGCAGCCGCGGUAAGACAGAGGUCUCAAGCGUUGUUCGGAACAACGGGGCGUAUAGCGUGCGUAGGCGGUUUCGUAAGUCGUGUGUGAAAGGCGCGGGCUCAACCCGCGGACGGCACCUGAUACUGCGAGACUAGAGUAAUGGAGGGGGAACCGGAAUUCUCGGUGUAGCCGUG